GGGCGAUUAGCUCAGUUGGCUAGAGCGCUUCCUUGACAUGGAAGAGGUCACAGGUUCAAGUCCUGUAUCGCCCACCA
rnacentral:tRNA from 1 species